rnacentral:lncRNA from 1 species
CAGGCAGAGGCUGCUCUGUCCUGAGAGGAAGGAGAAGCAGCUCAGGUGGGAGGGGAGCAGGGGCAAGAAAACCUCAUCACAAAGAAAGAUAGUUCUCAUAAAGAGUUCCUUCCCUGCUUGCUCAAGGGACUAGGCUGAAGGACGUUUUUACAAUGAUUACUUGAAGAUACCAAGUCAACUGGGAAGUUAAGCCACUCCCUAUCCUGAAAUUUUGAGUCAAAAACCUCCAUUUGCACAGUAUUUUGCAAUACGUCUUAGUCUUGGGAGAUUUGGAGCAAUUCCUAUCAAAAUCCAGCAGAGGUGAUUGCAGGAUGAGAAACACAGCACAGGACCAUUAUCAUCAGGAUUCUGGAUUAACUCAUACUGACUUGGUUUUCAUCACCAAGGGAAGCCUGUGGCCAAACUGUAAAAUGGGGCCACAGACCGAGUCCAUGCUGAAGUUAUUGUAAAGUAAGUUGCAGCUUUCUUAACAUAUUUUCAGACUUAAUCACAAGGACUUCCAUUGUAAAAGGCAGUGUUAAAUAAAACUCAAUGGGUUUUGGAACCAUGAGAGACGAUGGACUCUGAAAAACAAACUGAGGGUUCUAGAGGGGAGGAGGGUAGGGGGAUGGGUUAGCCUGGUGAUGGGUAUUAAAGAGGGCACAUUCUGCAUGGAGCACCGGGUGUUAUGCACAAACAAUGAAUCAUGGAACACUACAUCAAAAACUAAUGAUGUAAUGUAUGGUGAUUAACAUAACAAUUAAAAAAAUAAAAAAAAAACAACUCAAUGGGUUUUGGGUUCCUUUAAAGCAUUAAAACACUAUGUGCACAUCAGUUUCCAAAUAGGUGCUGGGGAGGCUGGUAGUGGCUCCAGGGUCCUGCACUUCCUA